rnacentral:lncRNA from 1 species
CUCACACCUGAUACCAGUUUCCACCAGCAGCUGCACUCCAGCCCUAGGCUGGUUCGUUAUCUUUUCUAUACAGACUUUUUUCAGCCCACUUUUGGAUCCUCUUGAGUGCUGUUGCUUUAACUUUUCAUUCACGUUGCUCUAACUAUUCAUUCUUUAACACAUGUAUUCACAGUCACAUAUACAAGGGUAGAUGAGUUUACUGUGUGGUGUGUGAUAAAUAAGAUCGGAAUGAAAGAAACCGCAUUUUCCUCUGCCAAGCUACCAAGGAAAAUGUGAUACUUGGCCAGCUAUGAAGAGAGCAGAAACAGUAACAGGCACAUGUUCCUACUUGAAGAUGGAGUCAGAUCGUUAAAGUAGACGUGAAGGCUCCAACAUGACAGCGAUUCCAAAUAUAGAGGUCAUUACAGGGGAAAAGGACAAUAUAGCAAGAACGGGAAGAGUCUGAAGAGACCAGAGGCAAGCUCCAGUUGUCCCCAAGAGGACUUUCUGUCUAUAACCUGAAACCACAAAAGUUUAACUUCAGAGGCCCAGGAUCUUUCUGCAUGCUGCUGGCUGACCUGGAACUCACUGUGUAGACCAGGCUGGUCUUAAAAUCGAGGGAUUGGGUCACUUUUCUGUCCAUGAGCAUGGAAAUAAUUUCAAGAGGACUUUCUGCUACGGUGCAUGAGCAUAGAAGCAGCUACAACGAGGUCCCUUGCCUUGGUGCUCAAGUAUGGAAACAAUUGAAGGUUGGAAAAAGGGGUCUCCAGCCUUUCCUUUCCUUUGUGAUAUAAUGAGAAUGGAGACACUUGCUGUGGGUGAGGGGAAAAUGAAAUUCAC